rnacentral:miRNA from 1 species
AAUGUCAUAACACCGUUGGAUACA